GAUGAACGCUGGCGGCGUGCCUAAUACAUGCAAGUCGAGCGAAUGGAUUGAGAGCUUGCUCUCAAGAAGUUAGCGGCGGACGGGUGAGUAACACGUGGGUAACCUGCCCAUAAGACUGGGAUAACUCCGGGAAACCGGGGCUAAUACCGGAUAACAUUUUGAACUGCAUGGUUCGAAAUUGAAAGGCGGCUUCGGCUGUCACUUAUGGAUGGACCCGCGUCGCAUUAGCUAGUUGGUGAGGUAACGGCUCACCAAGGCAACGAUGCGUAGCCGACCUGAGAGGGUGAUCGGCCACACUGGGACUGAGACACGGCCCAGACUCCUACGGGAGGCAGCAGUAGGGAAUCUUCCGCAAUGGACGAAAGUCUGACGGAGCAACGCCGCGUGAGUGAUGAAGGCUUUCGGGUCGUAAAACUCUGUUGUUAGGGAAGAACAAGUGCUAGUUGAAUAAGCUGGCACCU
rnacentral:rRNA from 1 species